rnacentral:rRNA from 1 species
GCCUCAGUUCAGAUUGAGGGCUGCAACUUGCCCUCAUGAAGUCGGAAUCGCUAGUAAUCGCGGAUCAGCUAUGCCGCGGUGAAUACGUUCUCGAGUCCUGUACUCACCGCCCGUCACUUCAGGGGAGCCGGGAAUACCUAAAGUUUCAUUUCGGUGGAAUCAAGGUAGAUUCGGUGACAUGGAAGAAGUCGUAACAAGGCACGCGUAGCGGAAGCUGUGCGUGGAUCAAUUAAAUA